rnacentral:rRNA from 1 species
UACGUAGGGUGCAAGCGUUGUCCGGAAUUAUUGGGCGUAAAGAGCUCGUAGGCGGUCUGUCGCGUCUGCUGUGAAAACUCAGGGCUUAACCCUGAGCUUGGCAGUGGGUACGGGCAGACUAGAGUGCGGUAGGGGAGACUGGAAUUCCGUGGUGAUAGCGGUGAAAUGCGCAGAUAUCAAGGAGGAACACCGGUGGCGAAGGCGGGUCUCUGGGCCGUAACUGACGCUGGGAG